rnacentral:rRNA from 1 species
CCGGAUGUUAGCGGCGGACGGGUGAGUAACACGUGGGUAACCUGCCUGUAAGACUGGGAUAACUCCGGGAAACCGGAGCUAAUACCGGAUAGUUCCUUGAACCGCAUGGUUCAAGGAUGAAAGACGGUUUCGGCUGUCACUUACAGAUGGACCCGCGGCGCAUUAGCUAGUUGGUGGGGUAAUGGCUCACCAAGGCGACGAUGCGUAGCCGACCUGAGAGGGUGAUCGGCCACACUGGGACUGAGACACGGCCCAGACUCCUACGGGAGGCAGCAGUAGGGAAUCUUCCGCAAUGGACGAAAGUCUGACGGAGCAACGCCGCGUGAGUGAUGAAGGUUUUCGGAUCGUAAAGCUCUGUUGUUAGGGAAGAACAAGUGCGAGAGUAACUGCUCGCACCUUGACGGUACCUAACCAGAAAGCCACGGCUAACUACGUGCCAGCAGCCGCGGUAAUACGUAGGUGGCAAGCGUUGUCCGGAAUUAUUGGGCGUAAAGGGCUCGCAGGCGGUUUCUUAAGUCUGAUGUGAAAGCCCCCGGCUCAACCGGGGAGGGUCAUUGGAAACUGGGAAACUUGAGUGCAGAAGAGGAGAGUGGAAUUCCACGUGUAGCGGUGAAAUGCGUAAAGAUGUGGAGGAACACCAGUGGCGAAGGCGACUCUCUGGUCUGUAACUGACGCUUAGGAGCGAAAGCGUGGGGAGCGAACAGGAUUAGAUACCCUGGUAGUCCACGCCGUAAACGAUGAGUGCUAAGUGUUAGGGGGUUUCCGCCCCUUAGUGCUGCAGCUAACGCAUUAAGCACUCCGCCUGGGGGAGUACGGUCGGCAAGACUGAAACUUCAAAGGGAAUUGACGGGGGGCCCGCACAAGCGGUGGAAGCAUGGGGGUUUAAUUCGAAGGCAACGCGGAAGAACCUUUACCAGGGUCUUGGACUUCCUUCUGACAACCCCUAAAAAAUAGGGCUUUUCCCUUCGGGGAACGAAUUGAACGGGGGGGGGCAUGGGUUGGCGGCCGACUCCGGGGCGGGGAAGAUGUUUGGGGUUAAGGUCCCCGGAACGGAAGGCCAACCCUUUGAAUCUUAAGUGGCCAGGGAUUUCAGGUUGGGGCACUUUUAAGGGGAACUGGCCGGGGAACAAACCCGGAAGGAAAGGGGGGGGGGAUUAACCGGCAAAAAUCUUCAGGUGCGCCUUAAGGAACCGUGGGGUGAUAACG